rfam:Pyrobaculum aerophilum str. IM2, complete genome.
GGGCCCGUAGCUCAGCCUGGUAGAGCGGCGGGCUCUUAACCCGUAGGUCGUGGGUUCGAAUCCCACCGGGCCCG